rnacentral:rRNA from 1 species
UACGUAGGGGGCGAGCGUUGCCCGGAAUUAUUGGGCGUAAAGAGCUCGUAGGCGGUCUGUCACGUCGGCUGUGAAAACCCGGGGCUCAACCCCGGGCCUGCAGUCGAUACGGGCAGACUAGAGUGCGGUAGGGGAGACUGGAAUUCCUGGUGUAGCGGUGAAAUGCGCAGAUAUCAGGAGGAACACCGGUGGCGAAGGCGGGUCUCUGGGCCGUAACUGACGCUGAGGAGCGAAAGCGUGGGGAGCGAACAGG